rnacentral:piRNA from 1 species
UAUUUGCACCACUUCUCAAGA